rnacentral:rRNA from 1 species
GCCAGACUCCUACGGGAGGCAGCAGUGGGGGAUAUUGCACAAUGGGGGGAACCCUGAUGCAGCGACGCCGCGUGGGUGAAGGAGCGUUUCGGCGCGUAAAGCCCUCUCGGCAGGGAAGAAGGAGGACGGUACCUGACUAAGAAGCCCCGGCUAACUACGUGCCAGCAGCCGCGGUAAUACGUAGGGGGCAAGCGUUAUCCGGAUUUACUGGGUGUAAAGGGGGCGCAGACGGCAGCGGAAGCCAGGAGUGAAAGCCCGGGGCCCAACCCCGGGACUGCUCUUGGAACUGCGCGGCUGGAGUGCAGGAGGGGCAGGCGGAAUUCCUGGUGUAGCGGUGAAAUGCGUAGAUAUCAGGAGGAACACCGGUGGCGAAGGCGGCCUGCUGGACUGCGACUGACGUUGAGGCCCGAAAGCGUGGGGAGCAAACAGGAUUAGAUACCCCCGUAUC